rnacentral:rRNA from 1 species
UUGAACGCUGGCGGCAUGCCUUACACAUGCAAGUCGAACGGCAGCACGGGAGCAAUCCUGGUGGCGAGUGGCGAACGGGUGAGUAAUGUAUCGGAACGUACCUUUCAGUGGGGGAUAACGUAGCGAAAGUUACGCUAAUACCGCAUAUUCUGUGAGCAGGAAAGCAGGGGAUCUUAGGACCUUGCGCUGAUUGAGCGGCCGAUAUCAGAUUAGCUAGUUGGUGAGGUAAAGGCUCACCAAGGCGACGAUCUGUAGCGGGUCUGGGAGGAUGAUCCGCCACACUGGAACUGAGACACGGUCCAGACUCCUACGGGAGGCAGCAGUGGGGAAUUUUGGACAAUGGGCGCAAGCCUGAUCCAGCCAUGCCGCGUGAGUGAAGAAGGCCUUCGGGUUGUAAACUGCUUUUGUACGGAACGAAACGGCUCUUUUUAAUACAGAGGGCUAAUGACGGUACCGUAAGAAUAAGCACCGGCUAACUACGU